rnacentral:rRNA from 1 species
GACGAACGCUGGCGGCGUGCUUAACACAUGCAAGUCGAACGGAAAGGCCCUGCUUUUGUGGGGUGCUCGAGUGGCGAACGGGUGAGUAACACGUGAGUAACCUGCCCUUGACUUUGGGAUAACUUCAGGAAACUGGGGCUAAUACCGGAUAGGAGCUCCUGCUGCAUGGUGGGGGUUGGAAAGUUUCGGCGGUUGGGGAUGGACUCGAGGCUUAUCAGCUUGUUGGUGGGGUAGUGGCUUACCAAGGCUUUGACGGGUAGCCGGCCUGAGAGUGUGACCGGCCACAUUGGGACUGAGAUACGGCCCAGAGGCCUACGGGAGGCAGCAGUGGGGAAUAUUGCACAAUGGGCGGAAGCCUGAUGCAGCAACGCCGCGUGCGGGAUGACGGCCUUCGGGUUGGAAACCGCUUUCGCCUGUGACGAAGCGUGAGUGACGGUAAUGGGUAAAGAAGCACCGGCUAACUACGU